rnacentral:rRNA from 1 species
CCUACGGGAGGCAGCAGUGGGGAAUAUUGCACAAUGGGCGCAAGCCUGAUGCAGCAACGCCGCGUGAGGGACGACGGCCUUCGGGUUGUAAACCUCUUUUAGUAGGGAAGAAGCGAAAGUGACGGUACCUGCAGAAAAAGCACCGGCUAACUACGUGCCAGCAGCCGCGGUAAUACGUAGGGUGCAAGCGUUGUCCGGAAUUAUUGGGCGUAAAGAGCUCGUAGGCGGUUUGUCGCGUCUGCUGUGAAAACCUGAGGCUCAACCUCAGACCUGCAGUGGGUACGGGCAGACUAGAGUGCGGUAGGGGAGAUUGGAAUUCCUGGUGUAGCGGUGGAAUGCGCAGAUAUCAGGAGGAACACCGAUGGCGAAGGCAGAUCUCUGGGCCGUAACUGACGCUGAGGAGCGAAAGCAUGGGGAGCGAACAGGAUUAGAUACCCUGGUAGUCCAUGCCGUAAACGUUGGGAACUAGAUGUAGGGACCAUUCCACGGUUCCUGUGUCGCNGCACGCAUAGUUACGUCCGCCGUGGGAGGUACGGCCGGCGAAGGACGUAAACGUUACGAAGUAAGUUAGUUACGGCGUUGAGACGNGCCGACGGACGACGACGAGGGAGGAGG